rnacentral:rRNA from 1 species
UACGAAGGGGGCUAGCGUUGCUCGGAAUCCCUGGGCGUAAAGGGUGCGUAGGCGGGUCUUUAAGGCAGGGGUGAAAUCCUGGAGCUCAACUCCAGAACUGCCUUUGAUACUGAGGAUCUUGAGUACGGGAGAGGUGAGUGGAACUGCGAGUGUAGAGGUGAAAUUCGUAGAUAUUCGCAAGAACACCAGUGGCGAAGGCGGCUCACUGGCCCGUAACUGACGCUGAGGCACGAAGGCUAGGGGAGCAAAAGGG